GACCACUGAAUUCAAUGCAUGUUAUACGCCUUAGGGCUGUUGAAGAUCCCAAUGGAGAAAUAGCAUCUUUGAGAGAUGACACCAUGCUGCCUGGUUCUAAGGAAGUUCCAAAAAUACCUUCUUCUCUUCAGGGAAUGAAACAAAUAACCCUUACCUCAGAGCUGCCUACACUGACAUCUCCUAAUUACCUGGAAUUUAGUUUCAUUUUUUUUGGAAACUGUCCUCAUCUGAAACCUAAAACCGCGGGCCAGCCUGCCAUCUCCUUAGUGAUACGAUCUUUCUCCAAAUUUAUCCAUUCAUACAUCCCACUCCAUUGUUGUAUUCUACUUUUGUCACAUACUUAA
ensembl:lncRNA